UGCCACCACGUGAGAAGUGCCUUUCGCCUCCCGCCAUGAUUCUGAGGCCUCCCUAGCCAUGGGGACCUGUCGUCGCUGCCCUCAGCCUCCAGAUGCAGCCCCCCUGCCACCUUCAGGACCCCUGGCUCUCCCCUGGACUCAGUAGCGAAAGGGUUUAUGUGCUCGGAGGGAGACCUUCAGGAAUCUGUGCAUAGAAUGCCAUAGUGCAGAGGAAAGUCUUCUUUCUGAAACCAGCCCAACUUUUCUCCCAGAGAGUAUCAUGGAACUGAACUUUCAAGAUCAUGGCAUCUGGACAUCGAGAAAACAGAACCCUCAUCUGGCCACCUGCUGCUUUUUGACCAAUUCCCAUAUAAACCGCUAACUUCAGUCAGUUGGAGGGAUGGAUUUGAGAUUUGCCUUCUGUCUCUCAGGUGAUGUCACCAGCAAUAAAGCCUUCUUCCCUGGCAAUAAAAAAAAAAAAAAAA
rnacentral:lncRNA from 1 species